GAAAAUGCAUCCUCUCUCCUCGACAGCUUGGAGAGAAAAAACACACAGUGAAAAACAGGAAACCAGUGUACGUCACAUCCAGUCUCCCUUUCCCGUGAGAAACUCCAACAGUACAGACUGUGGAAUGUAAACACCUGUCUUGUGACUGCAGUUGCUGCACAGUGAAGGAAAACAGAAACCAACAUCCUCCCCCUUUCUGUGAACAUCACUGGGCAGCGUGUUCGUACAGUAUCAGUACAAACCCAACUUCUGCACAUAGGUACAGUGUUGAUCCCUUGAUACAAUCUUGGACAAUACAUCAGCAGGAAUUUCAUUACCUGGCAUAUAGGACACCGUUACGAGUCCCUUCUGAAUACAUUCCCUAGCAUGCUGCAACUUUAAUUGCAAGUGCUUUGUGCUUUGCUUACAACCUUCAGACUUCAGCAAAGCCAAACAUGCUUUGUUGUCCUGGUAAACCUGGAUUGGACAUUUGACAGGAAUUUUCAUAUCUUUGCACAAUUGUACUAACCAUUCACAAUCCUUAAGUGAAUAAGACAGUGCAUUCAGUUCGGCUUCACAAGUACUUAAGCUAACUGUUGUUUGCUUCUUGCAUGACCAAUCAAAAAGACCCUGAUUGUACAUGUAGCAAACUCCAGACGUACUUUUCCUGUCUGUAGCGUCACUUCCAAAACUUGCAUCUGCAAAUAUCUCAAGACCACCAGACUUCUGAUUGUUAAAUCUCAGUCUGUAAUGCAUAGUGCCUUUCAAAUACCGCGCUAUGCGUUUCAGAGCUUUCCAAUCCUUGACACUAGGAUUGUUGACUUGUCUGCUUAGCAAAUUACAGCUAACAGCAAUGUCUGGUCUUGAACAUCUGGCAAUGAAGUUUAGCUUGCCUAGCACACUCCUGUACAGUGUAGUGUCAGAAAAUGCUUCUUCAGUGUCAUCUACCUGAUAACCUGUUGUCAUCGGUGUGUCUACAGGGUUAGCAUCCAUCAGAUUUAGUUUGCUUAACACAUCAGCAAUUUUCCGUGACUGGUGUACUAGAAUGUUACCAUCUUGAUCUCUCUCUAUUUCCAGAGAUAGGUAGUUGUUUACCUCACCAAGAUCUUUCAUGUCAAAGUGCUCUUUCAGUUGAGCUAGGGCGCUAUUGUACAUUGCAACAUCUUUCCAAAAGAAUAAUAAAUCAUCAACAUAAAACAAACAGUACAGUUUCUUUUGCCCCUCCUCUUGACAAAUACACAUGGAUCAGCUUUCCUUGCUGAAAACCUAGAGAAAACAAUACUUCAGUGAGCUUUGUGUGCCAACACCGUGCACUUUGUUUGAGACCAUAAAGGGAUUUCUUCAGAGCACAAACAAAUCCCUGUUUUACCUGUACGCCAUCAGGUGGAAGCAUAUAAAGUGAUUCAUCUAGAGAUCCGUACAGAAAAGCUGUAUUAAUAUCAUGGUGACUAAUGUGUAGAUUUUCCUCUGCAGCUAGCUUAAGCAUAAGCCUAAUGCUUUCAUAUCUCACUGUGGGUGAAUAGGUCUCGUGAUAGUCUUCACCUGGUACCUGUGCAAAACCUCUGGCUACCAAUCUGGCUUUGUGUCUGACUAUCUUGCCAUUUUGAUCUGUCUUCGCUUUGAAGACCCAUUUGCUUCCAAGCAGUUUCAUUCCUGGAACUACUGGAACUAGCUCCCAUGUUUUGUUCCUUUCUAAGGAAUCAAGCUCAGCCUUCAUGGCAUUUAACCAUGGCUCAGCUUCCUUUGAAUCCAAACCCUGGAUUUCUUGGAAACUUGAAGGUUCAAAUACCUUCUUGGAGCUUUUAACAGCUGUUACUGCUAUCGUAGCAAACUCAUCAGCAAAUCUCUUUGGAGGUCUGCCUUUGUGGCUCUCUGUGACCUACUGAAUUAGCCUUAAGUCUUCAACACUCUCCUCUUCCUUCUUAGGAGAAAAACGACCUAUUGUGAACAAUGGUUCCUCCAAUUCUUGAUCAGAGCUUUCAGAGGGUCGCAUAGAGGCUUUCGCACUCUUGAAAUCCUCUGAAUCACCCGAUUCAGUUUCAGAUUCAGACUCAGAACCUUCAUCAGUGGGUGUGGGCUGUUGUGGUUGCUUUUGACUAUCCUCAGUCUCAUCACCGUCAUCAGGAUAACAUUGGAAAAUUCCACAUUCUCCCCCACUUUGCAUUGUACUCAACACUUCUCGUGAGCUUAAUUGUCUUAGAGUCAGUCAUCAUUAUUCUGUAAGACCCUUUCUGAUAACCUAGAAAGAUACCAUGCAAUCCACGCUUGUCUAACUUGGAGUUUUGUGGUGAGCGAACCCACAUGUCAGAACCAAAAAUCUUCAUGUGUUUGAUGUAUGGCUUCUUGCCAAACAUCUUCUCAUAGGGGGUACAUCCAAUCGCUGAAGAUAGUCUGCGAUUGUAACUGUAAACAAAACACGAGAGAGAUUCGGCCCAAUAACUCUCUGGAAGAUUGGCAUCAUGCAGCAAGGUUUUUAACCCUUGAAGCAAAGUCUGAUUUGCCCGUUCCGCAAGUCCAUUCUGCCAUGGCGAGCGAGGACUAGACAAAUCGUGUUGAAUUCCUUUCUCAGUCAGAAAAGCUUCAAACUGCUGAGAAGUGAAUUCCCCGCGAUCACUGAAAAGAGUCUUUAUCUUCUUACCAUGCACAUUUUCCAACCAAGCACAGAAUUCCUUGAACCUAGGAAAAGCCUCCGAUUUCUGCUUGAGAUUGUACACAAAAAUAUAUCUAGAAAAUGCAUCAAUGAGAACCAUGAAGUAUCUAUUUCCACCCAAAGAGGGCGGUAGUGGUCCAACCAAAUCAGCAUGAACAACCUGGUAUGGUUCUGUAGCUGUCCUACUAGACACCUUACCUUUCGCAGCCAUUUUCACCUUGUUUGCUGCGCAUGCUUUGCACUUCAUGUGGUACCUGCAGGGUUUAAUAGUCAUACCUUCAACCAAGGCAGGCAUUUUAGAUACUGCCUCAAAAUGCAAAUGAGCAAAUUUUCGAUGAAAAUCGUGAAUACAUUCUGCAUGCAAACUUUUGUUAGAACCUGCAAUGCAACAAGUGUCAUCCUGUACCACAUCAUCAUAAUACAAAACAAACAAAUGAUCAACAUAUUCUGCAUGCAAUACAUAAUCAUUUUUCUUUGUGAUGAUGCACUUCUUGUUCUUGAAGGAAACGUCAAUGUUCCGCUCAUUCAGCUGUCCAACGCUGAGCAGAUUAUGUUUGGCGUCUGGCACGUAAAGCACAUUCUGUAUCGAUAAGUCCAAACUGUGAAGAACAACAGUUCCGUAGCCUUUACUGGGAAUAGUGUGGUCAUCCGCCUGGUGAAUCGCACCUUCCUGCGGUGUAAAAGACACAAACAGUUUCUUAUCGUUGCACAUGUGGUGGGUGGCCGCUGAAUCAACAACGAAGAAAGAUCUAGACGUCUUCUGGACCUCUGCAACCUUUGGAGUGAAGCGUGAAACCAUAGCCUUGUGCUGCGUUGUCCUAGACACCGGACCUUUGCCUUUGCCUCGGCCUUUUCCGCGCGAUGAGCUUUCGCUGCGCUGCUCUGUCUUGGCCCUGGGAUGUCUGCAUUCCCUCUUCAUAUGGCCUAGACGUCCACACGAGUAGCAUUUAACAGCCUCCAAAGCUUUGGCGCCAUCUGGUGGUUCCACUGCACUAUGGGAUGACGUCUGUGAAGACUUCCCUUGCCCAUGCAGCUAGCACCCGGCGAUCUGCUUCAUUUAAAAUCACGGCAGUAACAUAGUCCACUGUCAGCUGAGCAGUUGGGUGCACAGCUAUCUAGGUUGCAACAGACUCCCAACCUGAACCCAAAGAUUGUAGUAUCAUGAAAGAAUACACAGCCUCUGGAAAGUUGAGUCCUCUCUGUUGCAGCUCAUGUCUGAGAUUUUGCAUCUGCAUCAGAUGUAAACGCACAUCUCCACCUUCAGCAAGAGCCAUAUUGUGCAGCUUGUUAAAAUAAAACAUAGUUGAUCCAGCUUCUGUCCUUAAGUGAGCCUCUCUCAGAGCGUCCCAAAUUUCUCUGGCUGAGGUCUUAUCACGCAAUAGACAGAGCUCUUCUGGGGAUACUAUCAAUGUAAGAGUUCCCUUGCUUUGCAAUCCUUAGCUUCCCAUGCAUCUGUAACUGGCACUGGGGGGGUUCCUGUAAUCACUUCAAACAAACCCUCUUUCCGCAGAAUUGCCUCUGCAUACUGAACCCAGUCGCUGUAAUUUUUCUUGUUGAGCUUAGGAAUCCCACAAGCAUCCUGAAGGGCCAUCAUGACUCUGGCAUUAGCCUUCAGCGUCAUAUCUAUGCUGCUUUAAAUCUUGCUGCGUCACUGCUGCAGCUGCCUCAUUACAAAGGCACACUUAAAAGUUACUUCGAUUUCCCCAGCAUAGUGACUUGUGCCUGGGAGCCUUUAGCCAAUUCCCGGCAAAACCGGCUUUAAAGUUCAAAGUCCAGCCAUAAAGCCAUUAUCUUGAAGCUGGCAGGCUGCCCGGAGCAGUAGCACAUACCUCAUCAAUCACUUCUACGCGCAGAGCAGAUUCCUUUCCGAUCUGUCCUCUGCAUUCCGAUCCUUUUGCCGGCACUCCGAUUCGACCUCUGGAGUCCAUAACCACGUGUUGAUUUAAAGCAGAGUCUGUCGUGCCCAGCGGAAGGAUGAGGAAAAUGUGUUACAUACUCUAUAUUGCUUUAUUUACAGUUCAAAGCUGGUAUAUUACAGAAAGACAUCUUGCCUCUGCUGGAGCAGAGAAAUGCAUCCUCUCUCCUCGACAGCUUGGAGAGAAAACACACAGUGAAAAACAGGAAACCAGUGUACGUCACAUCCAGUCUCCCUUUCCCGUGAGAAACUCCAACAGUACAGACUGUGGAAUGUAAACACCUGUCUUGUGACUGCAGUUGCUGCACAGUGAAGGAAAACAGAAACCAACAUAUAAUGGGAGCUCCUCCCAAGGUGGCCACAUUAAACGCUAUCAGUUCGGUGUGCCUUGCCACCUUCAUUAUCAUUGGGACGGUCUGCAAGCUGACUUCUCCUCCCAACAGCUCCCUGCCAUCGAUCGUGGUCACCUGCAGGGGUUGCUUAAAGGGAUCGUCUGUAUCUGGUGUUCAGCUGCAAACUCUUUGCUCAUGAAAUUGCAGGAGCUGCCUGAGUCCAACAGCGCCUUUAUCUUUAGAGGGUGUCCGUUUGGCAGCUCUAGCGCCACUUCUAUCACUAGGGCGGGUUUAGGAGGUUCUGGCGUGGGCACUCUCACUGCUCUUUGGCCUGGCUGCUGUGCCCCGACGGUGGCAGCCAGGCGUUGGCUUUACUUGCUCCGGUAUUUCUUCCUCUCUUCCCUCCACAGCUCCUACCAUCCCUUGCCAUUCCUUCCUCUGGGGGCAGACUCUGGCAAAGUGACCUGGCUGUUGGCAGAGAUAGCAUUUCCGCGCGCGCUUUCCCUCCUUCUUUCCCCUCACUGGGCUAUGAAACAGCGCGCGCGCGCGCAGUUCCGAUUUCCAUCGGCUCUGCCGGCGGGAAGUUGGCUCUGGAAUGUCUGGAAUGCGGAACUCCUUCCAACGUUCCCCUUUCCCUUCCCGCCUCUCCAAUGCUCUCGCCUCCUGGCGCGCUCCUAUGGUCAGCGCUGAUUUGGUCAGCUGGUCCAUAGACUCCGCCCUGGGCGCCCGGGAAGUUCGUCUUUCACAGCCGAAGAAAGCCCUUCUUCAAAGAGCAUUUGAAUGGGUUCCGCCGAUAAGUCCCACCCCAAUCUGUGAACCAGCAUGGUGAACUCAGUCCAGUACUCACGGACAGAUCGGCUCCCCUGUUUGCAAGCCAUUAACUGUCUGCGCACCACUCCCUGUUCAAUAUCGCUGGAAAACAUCAGAUCCAUGGCGCGAAAGAACUUCAUCGUGUCCUUUAGGACGUCACUAUUCGCUGCCAUCAGGGGUCUAACCCAGUCUCUCGCCCCUUUUCAAGAUGCCCAAUCACGAAAGCCACUCGUGAUUCCUCGUCAGGGAAUUCAUCAAACUGCAGAUUGAGGGCAUAUUGCAUCUCUGUCCGAAAGCCAUGAUAGUCUUUGGGCUCCCCCCCAAACUUCUGCACCAAUCCUGGUACCUUUCUGGCGAGCUGGGUGGCUUUCCCUUUUUAUCUGCAUCCUGAGCCCUCCUCUCCUCAAGCCUCGCCGUCUGCAGCGCUAGCUGGACCUCCAACACCCGGUACCUUUCUUCCAGGCUUGGACCCGCUCCAGCUCCUGCUUCUCCGGUUCCGGCUGGGUUGCUCAUGAUGCCUUCUCCUGCACAAGCUGCUUUCAAAGACUGUCGGAAUGCUGUGAUGGGAUGAUGAGCUGCUUGUGCGUAAAAUAGUACCCCUCAGAGUUUGUUCAAGUCCACAAACCUCUGUCUGUGACGGAGCCCCUCAGACAUGGCUCCUCUAGUCACUAGCAGAUUCCGACAGUGGUUGCUUUCGGAAUCGCUCCAACAUAAAAGCUCCUUAACGGAAACACGUCUUCUGGACUCUCUGCGUGACAGUUUCCGGCGAGGAGUGGGUGUUCCUACAGGAGGUCCUGAAACCUCCCCACUGUUUUCGCUGGAAGUGUCUCUGAGCCAUCCCUCCAGCUCACUUUCCCUCAGCUCAGCUCCUCUCCCCCUACUGGUUCCCUCUUCAGCUGCUGAGUCUCUCCCAACCUGUGUGAGCCCUUUCACCUCCCUUCCUUCCGAUGGCAGUUCCCUGACAUAUGGUCAUAAUCUCAUCUAUUUUUACACAUCUAGAAGUGGGAGUAGAUCUCACAGGCUGCUGAGCUCGCUCUUCCCUGUAGAAGAAUGAGUCUUCAAUGGUCUCAGCAAAAUAAACAAAUGCAAAUAACUUGCAGAAUCACCUUCAGCAUGGCUGCAAAUCAGGUUCCUCAGCGGAGACAUGUAAAGUGCUGAUUCCAGAUCUAGACAGCAUUUGUCAGGCUCCAGACAGAUGUGAAGAGAUGAUUAAAUUUGGUGGCAUUAUGUUCCGCUGAGCUUUAACUCAUUUUUAUCUUGCUAUUUUAUAAUGUCUACUGUACUUUCUUUGGCUUGAGUUUUCUUAGCUGCCUUGUGGCAAGCUAUAAAUAUUUUAAUAGAAACAAAUUAAAGCUUAGAUCCUAAGAUAAAAUAACCUCAGGAAGUUCACCAAAGAAAGGCUUCCCAUCCCUUCCUCCACCUACACAUAACUGUGGUGCCCCAAAAGAGCCUCGUGGGAGGGUUGGGACCCUCCUGAAUAAUUUCUGAUAGGCUGGGAGGGAAGAGAGGGAGACUGCCAGAAGGUCAAACUACACAUUACUCUAAAUGCAUAGUGUACACACUGGUCCCCCCCACCUUAUUUAAAUUACAGAUAUUAAGUCCAUUGCAACCAUAGCACAUGCAGAGGUGAGGUUAAACCCUUCCCUCUACAGAUUUGAUUUGAACGAAAGUUAGUUCUUUGCACAGCUAUGAGACUUAAGAAAGGAAGCAAGCAAGCAUUCAUUCAUGUGAAAUGGUAGCUUGCCGUCCCCAAGCCUCAGAACCAUGUGAGGAGCCAGGUUUUAUCAGGAUCAUGGCUAAAGCAGGAAGGCUUAAUCUUUCCCUCACUAAGCACAACAGUCUCAAUGAAAAUCUGGGGAAGGAGGGUAAUCCAUAAUUGAAUAAAGAAAAUCCACACAGACAGCAGCUUACUGCACAAUUAAAAGGAAUGUCACAUUAGGUUAACCUAGAGCCAAUUUUCAGAUUUGGGAUUCUGUUGAUUUAAAGCAGAGUCUGGUUGCCAGCGGAAGGAUGAGGAAAAUGUGCUGCAUACUCCUUUAUUGCUUUAUUUACAGUUCAAAGCUGGUAUAUUACAGAAAGACAUCUUGCCUCUGCCGGAGCAGAGAAAUGCAUCCUCUCUCCUCAACAGCUCGGAGAGAAACACAGAGUGAAAAAACAGGAAACCAGUGUACGUCACAUCCAGUCUCCCUUUCCCGUGAGAAACUCCAACAGUACCUCUGACUGUGGAAUGCAAAACAAUGUCUUGUGACUGCAGUUGCUGCUCAGUGAGGGAAAUAGAAACCAACAUCCUCCCCCUUUCUGUGAACAUCACUGGGCAGCGUGUUCGUACAAUAUCAGUACAAACCCAACUUCUGCACAUAGGUACAGUGUUGAUCCCUUGAUACAAUCUUGGACAAUACAUCAGCAGGAAUUUCAUUACCUGGCAUAUAGGACACCGUUACGAGUCCCUUCUGAAUACAUUCCCUAGCAUGCUGCAACUUUAAUUGCAAGUGCUUUGUGCUUUGCUUACAACCUUCAGACUUCAGCAAAGCCAAACAUGCUUUGUUGUCCUGGUAAACCUGGAUUGGACAUUUGACAGGAAUUUUCAUAUCUUUGCACAAUUGUACUAACCAUUCACAAUCCUUAAGUGAAUAAGACAGUGCAUUCAGUUCAGCUUCACAAGUACUUAAGCUAACUGUUGUUUGCUUCUUGCAUGACCAAUCAAACAGACUCUGAUUGUACAUGUAGCAAACUCCAGACGUACUUUUCCUGUCUGUAGCGUCACUUCCAAAACUUGCAUCUGCAAAUAUCUCAAGACCACCAGACUUCUGAUUGUUAAAUCUCAGUCUGUAAUGCAUAGUGCCUUUCAAAUACCGCGCUAUGCGUUUCAGAGCUUUCCAAUCCUUGACACUAGGAUUGUUGACUUGUCUGCUUAGCAAAUUACAGCUAACAGCAAUGUCUGGUCUUGAACAUCUGGCAAUGAAGUUUAGCUUGCCUAGCACACUCCUGUACAGUGUAGUGUCAGAAAAUGCUUCUUCAGUGUCAUCUACCUGAUAACCUGUUGUCAUCGGUGUGUCUACAGGGUUAGCAUCCAUCAGAUUUAGUUUGCUUAACACAUCAGCAAUUUUCCGUGACUGGUGUACUAGAAUGUUACCAUCUUGAUCUCUCUCUAUUUCCAGAGAUAGGUAGUUGUUUACCUCACCAAGAUCUUUCAUGUCAAAGUGCUCUUUCAGUUGAGCUAGGGCGCUAUUGUACAUUGCAACAUCUUUCCAAAAGAAUAAUAAAUCAUCAACAUAAAACAAACAGUACAGUUUCUUUUGCCCCUCCUCUUUGACAAAUACACAUGGAUCAGCUUUCCCUUGCUGAAAACCUAGAGAAAACAAUACUUCAGUGAGUUUUGUGUGCCAACACCGUGCACUUUGUUUGAGACCAUAAAGGGAUUUCUUCAGAGCACAAACAAAUCCCUGUUUUACCUGUACGCCAUCAGGUGGAAGCAUAUAAAGUGAUUCAUCUAGAGAUCCGUACAGAAAAGCUGUAUUAAUAUCAUGGUGACUAAUGUGUAGAUUUUCCUCUGCAGCUAGCUUAAGCAUAAGCCUAAUGCUUUCAUAUCUCACUGUGGGUGAAUAGGUCUCGUGAUAGUCUUCACCUGGUACCUGUGCAAAACCUCUGGCUACCAAUCUGGCUUUGUGUCUGACUAUCUUGCCAUUUUGAUCUGUCUUCGCUUUGAAGACCCAUUUGCUUCCAAGCAGUUUCAUUCCUGGAACUACUGGAACUAGCUCCCAUGUUUUGUUCCUUUCUAAGGAAUCAAGCUCAGCCUUCAUGGCAUUUAACCAUGGCUCAGCUUCCUUUGAAUCCAAACCCUGGAUUUCUUGGAAACUUGAAGGUUCAAAUACCUUCUUGGAGCUUUUAACAGCUGUUACUGCUAUCUUAGCAAACUCAUCAGCAAAUCUCUUUGGAGGUUUGCCUUUGUGGCUCUCUGUGACCUACGAAUUAGCCUUAAGUCUUCAACACUCUCCUCUUCCUUCUUAGGAGAAAAACGACCUAUUGUGAACAAUGGUUCCUCCAAUUCUUGAUCAGAGCUUUCAGAGGGUCGCAUAGAGGCUUUCGCACUCUUGAAAUCCUCUGAAUCACCCGAUUCAGUUUCAGAUUCAGACUCAGAACCUUCAUCAGUGGGUGUGGGCUGUUGUGGUUGCUUUUGACUAUCCUCAGUCUCAUCACCGUCAUCAGGAUAACAUUGGAAAAUUCCCACAUUCUCCCCCACUUUGCAUUGUACUCAACACUUCUCGUGAGCUUAAUUGUCUUAGAGUCAGUCAUCAUUAUUCUGUAAGACCCUUUCUGAUAACCUAGAAAGAUACCAUGCAAUCCACGCUUGUCUAACUUGGAGUUUUGUGGUGAGCGAACCCACAUGUCAGAACCAAAAUCUUCAUGUGUUUGAUGUAUGGCUUCUUGCCAAACAUCUUCUCAUAGGGGGUACAACCAAUCGCUGAAGAUAAUCUGCGAUUGUAACUGUAAACAAAACACGAGAGAGAUUCGGCCCAAUAACUCUCUGGAAGAUUGGCAUCAUGCAGCAAGGUUUUUAGACCUUGAAGCAAUGUCUGAUUUGCCCGUUCCGCAAGUCCAUUCUGCCAUGGCGAGCGAGGACUAGACAAAUCGUGUUGAAUUCCUUUCUCAGUCAGAAAAGCUUCAAACUGCUGAGAAGUGAAUUCCCCGCGAUCACUGAAAAGAGUCUUUAUCUUCUUACCAUGCACAUUUUCCAACCAAGCACAGAAUUCCUUGAACCUAGGAAAAGCCUCCGAUUUCUGCUUGAGAUUGUACACAAAAAUAUAUCUAGAAAAUGCAUCAAUGAGAACCAUGAAGUAUCUAUUUCCACCCAAAGAGGGCGCUAGUGGACCAACCAAAUCAGCAUGAACAACCUGGUAUGGUUCUGUAGCUUUCCUACUAGACACCUUACCUUUCGCAGCCAUUUUCACCUUGUUUGCUGCGCAUGCUUUGCACUUCAUGUGGUACCUGCAGGGUUUAAUAGUCAUACCUUCAACCAAGGCAGGCAUUUUAGAUACUGCCUCAAAAUGCAAAUGACCAAAUUUGCGAUGAAAAUCGUGAAUACAUUCUGCAUGCAAACUUUUGUUAGAACCUGCAAUGCAACAAGUGUCAUCCUGCACCACAUCAUCAUAAUACAAAACAAACAAAUGAUCAACAUAUUCUGCAUGCAAUACAUAAUCAUUUUUCUUUGUGAUGAUGCACUUCUUGUUCUUGAAGGAAACGUCAAUGUUCCGCUCAUUCAGCUGUCCAACGCUGAGCAGAUUAUGUUUGGCGUCUGGCACGUAAAGCACAUUCUGUAUCGAUAAGUCCAAACUGUGAAGAACAACAGUUCCGUAGCCUUUACUGGGAAUAGUGUGGUCAUCCGCCUGGUGAAUCGCACCUUCCUGCGGUGUAAAAGACACAAACAGUUUCUUAUCGUUGCACAUGUGGUGGGUGGCCGCUGAAUCAACAACGAAGAAAGAUCUAGACGUCUUCUGGACCUCUGCAACCUUUGGAGUGAAGCGUGAAACCAUAGCCUUGUGCUGCGUUGUCCUAGACACCGGACCUUUGCCUUUGCCUCGGCCUUUUCCGCGCGAUGAGCUUUCGCUGCGCUGCUCUGUCUUGGCCCUGGGAUGUCUGCAUUCACUCUUCAUAUGGCCUAGACGUCCACGCGAGUAGCAUUUGACUGCCUUCAAAGCUUUGGCGCCAUCUGGUGGUUCCACUGCACUAUGGGAUGACGUCUGUGAAGACUCUCCUUGCCCAUGCAGCUAGCACCCCGGCGAUCUGCUUCAUUUAAAAUCACGGCAGUAACAAAGUCCACUGUCAGCUGAGCAGUUGGUUGCACAGCAAUCUGGGUUGCAACAGACUCCCAACCUGAACCCAAAGAUUGUAGUAUCAUGAAAGAAUACACAGCCUCUGGAAAGUUGAGUCCUCUCUGUUGCAGCUCAUGUCUCAGAUUUUGCAUCUCCAUCAGAUGUAAACGCACAUCUCCACCUUCAGCAAGAGCCAUAUUAUGCAGCUUGUUAAAGUAAAACAUAGUUGAUCCAGCUUCUGUCCUUAAGUGAGCCUCUCUCAGAGCGUCCCAAAUUUCUCUGGCUGAGGUCUUAUCACGCAAUAGACAGAGCUCUUCUGGGGAUACUAUCAAUGUAAGAGUUCCCUUGCUUUGGAAUCCUUAGCUUCCCAUGCAUCUGUAACUGGAACUGGGGGUUUCUGUAAUCACCUCAAACAAACCCUCUUUCCGCAGAAUUGCCUCUGCAUACUGAACCCAGUCGCUGUAAUUUUUCUUGUUGAGCUUAGGAAUCCUACAAGCAUCCUGAAGGGCCAUCAUGACUCUGGCAUUAGCCUUCAGCGUCAUAUGCUGCUUUAAAUCUUGCUGCGUCACUGCUGCAGCUGCUUCAUUACAAAGGCACACUUAAAAGUUACUUUCGAUUUCCCCAGCAUAGUGACUUGUGCCUGGGAGCCUUUUGCCUAUUCCCGCAAAACCGGCUUUAAAAGUUCAAAGUCCAGCCAUAAAGCCAUUAUCUUGAAGCUGGCAGGCUGCCCGGAGCAGUAGCACAUACCUCAUCAAUCACUUCGACGCGCAGAGCAGAUUCCUUUCCGAUCUGUCCUCCCUCUGCAUUCCGAUCCUUUGCCGGCACUCCGAUUCGACCUCUGGAGCCCAUAACCACGUGUUGAUUUAAGCAGAGUCU
rnacentral:lncRNA from 1 species